AUGCCGAUCCCCCAGAUCGGCUGGCAGCUCCUCCCUCAGGUCCAGAUGCCCCAACAAUGGCAGCAGCUCCUCCUCGGCCUCAGCCUCCUGCUGCCUGUCCUGGUUCUGAUAGUGAGGAGCAGGAAAGGGCUCAAGCUGCCGCCGGGACCGGCGCGGCUGCCGGUGCUAGGCAACCUGCACCAGCUGGGCUCGCUUCCGCACCGGAGCCUGCGGGAGCUGGCGCGGCGGCACGGUCCCGUGAUGCUGCUGCGCCUGGGCGCCACGCACAUGCUGGUGGUGUCGUCGGCGUCGGCGGCGCGUGAGGUGCUCAAGGAGCACGACGCCGACUGCUGCAGCCGGCCGGCGUGCCCCGGGCCGAAGCGGCUGUCGUACGGGUUCAAGAACAUGGCGUUCGCCCCCUACGGCGAGCACUGGCGCGAGAUGCGCAAGAUCUUCAUCGUGGAGCUCCUCAGCAUGCGCCGCGUCAAGGCCGCGUGGGGGGCGCGCCAGGAGCAGGUGGACAAGCUCAUGGCCGCCCUCGCCCCCAACGAGCCGGUGGCGCUCGGCGAGCACAUCUUCGCAUUCACCGACGGCAUCAUCGGCACGGUGGCGCUGGGGAACGUCUACGGCGCCGACAUGCUGGCGCGCAAGAAGCACUUCCAGCACGUGCUCGACGAGGCCAUGGACAUGCUCGCCACCUUCUCGGCCGAGGACUUCUUCCCCAACGCCGCCGGCCGCCUCGUCGACCGUCUUACCGGUCUCGUCGCCCGCCGUGACCAGCUCUUCAGCAGCCUCGACGAUUUCUUCGAGACGGUCAUCGAGCAGCACCUGGACCCGGCGAGGCCCAAGCCGGAGAACGGCGGCGACCUGGUCGACGUCCUCAUCGACCUCUGGAAGCAGGAGCACCGUGGUUUCACCAAGGACCACGUCAAGGCCAUCAUCAUGGACACUUUCGUGGGUGGCAUCGACACGAGCUCGGUGACGAUCCUGUGGGCGAUGUCGGAGCUGAUUCGGAACCCGCGGGUGAUGAAGAAGGCGCAGGAGGAGAUCAGGGCGGCGGUGGGGGAGCCGCGCGCCCGGGUGCAGCCGGACGACCUGCCCAAGCUCAACUACCUCAAAAUGGUCCUCAAGGAGACCCUGAGGCUCUACCCGCCGGCGACGCUGCUGCUGCCGCGCGAGACGAUGCGGCACGUCAAGAUCGGCGGCUACGACGUGCCGGCGACGACCAGGGUCGCCGUCAACGCGUGGGCCCUCGGUAGGGACCCGGCGAGCUGGGGCGAGGACGCCGACGAGUUCAACCCGGACAGGUUCGAGGCCGGGGCGAGGCACGGCGAGGUGGACCUCCACGGCGCGCACUUCGAGCUGGUGCCGUUCGGCGCCGGGCGGCGGAUCUGCCCGGGCAUGGCAAUGGCGCUGAUGAACGUGGAGUUCGCGCUGGCCAACCUGCUGUGCGGCUUCGACUGGGCGCUGCCGGAGGGGACCAAGGCGGAGGACCUGUGCAUGGAGGAGGCCGGCGGGCUCACCUUCCACCGCAAGACGCCGCUCGUGCUUGUGCCCACCCCGUACGUGCCGCCGUCCGCCGCUUAA
rnacentral:rRNA from 1 species